rnacentral:lncRNA from 1 species
CUGUCAUCCUGUUAUUGCAACUCAAGAUAUCCUGUCAUCCUGUUAUUGCAACUCAAGAUAUCCUGUCAUCCUGUUUUGCAACUCAGACGUACCCUAUAUAAUCCUCCUCUCCCCUUUGUUUAGUGUUCCAUCUGCCUUGGAGGCAGUUGGACCCAAGCUCAAGCUUGUAAUAAAGCAGUACCUCUUGCUUUUACAUUAUCUGGUGUGCCUCCUAAUUUGGGAAACCAGAACCUGGUCAAACAUUUGGGGGCUCUUCUGGGAUUUCCUGACUGGACCGCUCAUGGAUAGAGGUACUGGUUCAGAGGACAAAAGGGUCAGAGAAUGUGUAGGUGAUGUGUGACUGUGACGGGGAGCUGAUCAUGAGAUUAGAAAAUACGACUUAGUCCAGCUAGUCCCACCAGCUCAGGGGAUUAUAUGGAGAGAGCCUAUUGUUCAGUUCAAUCCCAGUAAGUGAUUUGGUUCUGCCUGUUUCUGAGUGUGGACCAGCCUAAUACAUGUCUCUCAGACUUUUCGAGAAGCUGAGUCAGAAGCUGAGCCGGAACAGCUGAGAAGUAUUUGGUUAUCAAGAAAAAGCAAAAGUGAAUUGACCCUUUCAACCAUCCAAGCAGAAGAGACUCACUUCGAGGGGUUGGAGGCCCUUCGCCCAGAGUCCUGGGAACCUGGGACAGAGACUGGGUCUCUGCAGCAGAGGAGGAAGAAAAGAAAGAAGAAAAGGAGGAGGAAAACAGGAAGAGGAGAAAAGAGAAGGAAGAUACAGAUGAAGAAAGAAGAGGAGAAAAAAGGAGGAAGAAAAAAGAGGAGGAGGAAAAUAAAAAAGAAGUAAGAAAGAAUAAAGGAAGAAGGAAGAGGAAGAAGAGUUCAUUACAAAUCAAGUAGAAUACUUAGGAAGAGACUGGAGCCUGGAAGGUAUCACGCCAUUUGGAUUUGCCCCUGUGAAGCAGAGAGAAGUCUUCAAAAAAGGUCAUGUUGUUCUUAAUGGUUUGGGGUCUUUCUGAGUAGUACACAGUGUCUGGAGUCUUACUGGCUAUCUUAAAUCUAUUAUUUGGUACUACAUUAUUCCUAGAAUUUGGAGAUCUGUUCACUUAUUUGAGGGGCAUUUACAUUAAUAAAGUACUGGACCUAGAGUCA